rnacentral:rRNA from 2 species
CGGGCGCAGCUAACAAUGCAGUCGAGCGGAUGAAUGGAGCUUGGUCCUGAUUCACGGCGGACGGGUGAGUAAUGCCUAGGAAUCUGCCUGGUAGUGGGGGACAACGUUUCGAAAGGAACGCUAAUACCGCAUACGUCCUACGGGAGAAAGUGGGGGAUCUUCUGACCUCGCGCUAUCACAUGAGCCUAGGUCGGAUUACCUAGUUGGUGAGGUAAAGGCUCACCAAGGCGACGAUCCGUAACUGGUCUGAGAGGAUGAUCAGUCACACUGGAACUGACACACGGUCCAGACUCCUACGGGAGGCAGCAGUGGGGAAUAUUGGACAAUGGGCGAAAGCCUGAUCCAGCCAUGCCGCGUGUGUGAAGAAGGUCUUCGGAUUGUAAAGCACUUUAAGUUGGGAGGAAGGGCAGUAAGUUAAUACCUUGCUGUUUUGACGUUACCAACAGAAUAACCACCGGCUAACUUCGUGCCAACAGCCGCGGUAAUACCAAGGGUGCAAGCGUUAAUCGGAAUUACUGGGCGUAAAGCGCGCGUAGGUGGUUCGUUAAGUUGGAUGUGAAAGCCCCGGGCUCAACCUGGGAACUGCAUCCGAAACUGGCGAGCUAGAUUAUGGCAUAGGGUGGUGGAAUUUCCUGUGUAGCGCUGAAAUGCGUAGAUAUAUGAAGGAACACCAGUGGCAAAGGCGACCACCUGGGCUAAUACUGACACUGAGGUGCGAAAGCGUGCGGAGCAAACAGGAUUAGAUACCCUGGUAGUCCACGCCGUAAACGAUGUCGACUAGCCGUUGGGAUCCUUGAGAUCUUAGUGGCGCAGCUAACGCAUUAAGUCGACCGCCUGGGGAGUACGGCCGCAAGGUUAAACUCAAAUGAAUUGACGGGGGCCUCACAGCGGUCGAGCAUGUGGUUUAAUUCGAGCAACGCUAGAACCUUACCAGGCCUUGACAUGCAGAGAACUUUCCAGAGAUGG